rnacentral:rRNA from 1 species
AGCAGCCGCGGUAAUACGGAGGAUGCAAGUGUUAUUCGGAAUGAUUGGGCGUAAAGCGUCUGUAGGCUGUAUAGAAAGUCUUUUGUUAAAUGCCUCGGCUCAACCGAGAUCCAGCAAAGGAAACUUCUAUACUUGAGGGAAGUAGAGGUACAGGGAAUUCCCGGUGGAGCGGUGAAAUGCGUAGAUAUCGGGAGGAACACCAAUAUGGCGAAGGCGCUGUACUGGGCUUUACCUGACGCUCAGAGACGAAAGCUAAAGGAGUGAUUAGGAUUAGAUACCCUAGUAAUUUUAGCCGUAAACGAUGGAAACUCACUGCCGAGCGAAAUACAACGAGCGGUGGUCAAGCUAACGCGUGAAGUUUCCCGCCUGGGGAUUACGCUUGCAAAAGUGAAACUCAAAGGAAUUGACGGGGACCCGCACAAGCGGUGGAGUAUGUGGUUUAAUUCGAUGCAACACGAAGAACCUUACCAGGGUUUGAAAUCAUUUCAAAACUCCUUGAAAGAGGAGCCUCCUUCGGGAUGAAAUGACAGGUGGUGCAUGGCUGUCGUCAGCUCGUGUUGUGAAAUGUCGAGUUAAGUCUCGUAACGAGCGCAACCCAUGUCUCUUGUUGCUCACUGAGUGCUUAAGAGAGACUGCCGACCAACAUCGGAGGAAGGUGUGGAUGAUGUCAAGUCAGCAUGCCCCUUACAUCCUGGGCUACACACGUACUACAAUGGUAGGGACAAUGAGCUGCGAUCCUGCGAAGGCUAGCCAAUCUCAAAAACCCUAUCUCAGUUCGGAUUGUACUCUGCAACUCGAGUACAUGAAGGUGGAAUCGCUAGUAAUCGCUGGUCAGCUAUACAGCGGUGAAUACGUUCCCGGGUCUUGUACACACUGCCCGUCACACCAUGGAAGCCGACUCUUCCCUAAGUCGUUACUCGAACCCAUUGGGACGAGGAUGCCGAAGGCAGGGUUGGUGACUGGGGUGAAGUCGUAACAAGGUAGCCG